CAGUCGCCACGGUAAUACGAAGGGUGCAAGCGUUACUCGGAAUUACUGGGCGUAAAGCGUGCGUAGGUGGUGGUUUAAGUCCGUUGUGAAAGCCCUGGGCUCAACCUGGGAAUUGCAGUGGAUACUGGGUCACUAGAGUGUGGUAGAGGAUAGUGGAAUUUCCGGUGUAGCAGUGAAAUGCGUAGAGAUCGGGAGGAACAUCAGUGGCGAAGGCGGCCAUCUGGGACAACACUGACGCUGAGGCACGAAAGCGUGGGGAGCAAACAGGAUUAGAUACCCGAGUAGUCCCUGUCUCUUAUAC
rnacentral:rRNA from 1 species